rnacentral:tRNA from 1 species
UUUAACUUGGCAGAAUAUUGUUCUAAAUUUAGAAUUUAGUAAAAUAGUUUUUAAUA